CCUUUAUUCAGGGAAACUACUUCGUCCUCAGCUUAUUGCUGCUCUUGUCCGUCUGUCACCCAGUCAUCUCAACCCAGGCAAAACAUUUUACCAUGGGUAUAAAUGAAAAGGGAGCCAAUUUUGAGGAAGACGUCGAAAUUGACGAAGAAAAGGACACGGUCAUAUUUCGCGUUCCUGCUCACAAUAAUGUUGUCAGUGCAAGCUUCUAAAAUGACUUCAAACUGGCGUCUUUGCAGCUGGAUCCACUUCCUGUAAUCACAAAGAGACAUCUUGUGAAGGUGACAGGUGCCGCAGACAGACAACUGCUCACAAAAGAGAUCCCGGACUUUUGCGGAAUGUUUCCAAUAUAUAACAUUAAACAAUUUGAAAUCAACGAGAAUGGAAGAGAUGGAUCUUUUAUAUCGCAUCGCGUCGCAAGGCAUGUAGUAUAUCUGUCUGAGUUCGUACCUUGCAAGAAGGAUUUUGUUUUAGAAUAUGUCGCAAGGUGCAUGGAUGUAAAAUGGGAUCUGAAAUGUAAGAUACAGUCAGAUGCUUGCUUCUACAGGGUUCAUUGUACAAAUUUAGGGCCCUCAAAGCAGAAAUGGGAGUGUAUAAAAGUACAUCUUUCAAAUACUUAUCCAGUAUGCUGUGAUUUUACUUGUCCUUUACCGAGACCCUCAAACUAAACUAAAAGCCAAAAUAAUUUCAAUUGCAAAUUAUAAAAGUUUGAUUUGUUAGUUUGCCCCUCUCUUUCAUUGAAAAAUUGCGACGGACUGAUUGCUGAUUUUAGUACAAUUUGAACAACUGUCGUUAAUGAAUCUUUAAAUGCAUGCCUAUUUAUCAUUAUUGUUAGUCGAUCAUAUUUGCUUUUUUUUAAACGGUUAUGAAAUCUGAGUGCCAAAUACUUAAGUUGGACUAACUUGUACUAAGGCAAGUUUUUCGGAGACGAGU